rnacentral:rRNA from 1 species
GACGAACGCUGGCGGCGUGCUUAACACAUGCAAGUCGAACGGACAGGCCCUGCUUUUGUGGGGUGCUCGAGUGGCGAACGGGUGAGUAACACGUGAGUAACCUGCACUUGACUUUGGGAUAACUUCAGGAAACUGGGGCUAAUACCGGAUAGGAGCUCCUGCUGCAUGGUGGGGGUUGGAAAGAUUCGGCGGUUGUGGAUGGACUCGCGGCUUAUCCGCUACUUGGUGUGGUAGUGGAUUACGAAGGCUUUGACGGAUAGCCUGCCUGGGAGGGUGAACGGGCACAUGGCGCCUGCGAGAGGCACCAGUAGGCAACGGGAGGCAGCAGGCGAGAACAUGGCGGAGUGAGGCGAAGUGAGAUAUGACAAUCCUGGGUGCGGAAUGAUCGGUUACUAGUGGAAAACAAAUGUGGAAGGAGAUGUGCAGGGAUUGACGGUAACGAGUAAGAAAGCAACGGCUAACUACGUG